AGAAACAUGAACUAUAUGGAAAAUGCGUGAUAAGACAUGAAAAGUCGCUGGCCGAAUGCAUGUUGCUGGUGCAUGAAAGGUCGGAAAAUUGAGUCUGGAGACAGUUUGCACACCUUUGGUCCUUAAGGGAGCCAGAUGACAAUACUGCCUCACCAUCCAGGCCUCAAUCCACAGCCUCCCCCUGGCACACUAGCUACAAGACCACCUGGAGCCAAGGGUUCAGCUAUAGAUGGGUCUCAAUUUACAGCAUGCGUGAGAGCUUCAAAGUGUGUUACCACGCUGGCGAGAUGUGACAUGGAAACUGUACUAGGUGGUUGUCGGUUGCAGCACGUAGUCUGUGUCACCGGUUGUCACACAUUUGUUCCCUGACUGAUUUUCCUGGAGAAGGUCAGAACCCUGCAUUACUUUGCUCUGCACCACCAAGGCAGGAUCCUGAAUAUUUAAUCAGGCUGCUCUGAUGAGGGGGACAACACCAGCAAGUCAUUAAAGAAGAAAUGGACAGGACCAGAGAGGAGUUGGAUUUAGCUGGAGUAGAAGAGCACAUUGAAUAGAAUAGCAAGAAAGAAAUUUGAUUGGGUAAGAUGCUAUUCUUGGCGAUGGAACCAGAUUGGCAAAUCAAUGAAAUCAGAAUUCAAUUCAGUCUGGGCAAUACUUUAGAGUCUACUACAUAUUUAGAAUUUACUAUGCCCAAAGUAUAAUAGGAUAUUGUAGUGCAGUCUUUGCUCUGUGAUUACCAUCUUGAUGGAGAAAUCAGGACAAACAGCA